GACGAACGCUGGCGGCGUGCUUAACACAUGCAAGUCGAACGGAAAGACCAUGCGUUUGUGGGUUGCUCGAGUGGCGAACGGGGGAGUAACACGUGAGUAACCUGCCCUUGACUUUGGGAUAACUUCAGGAAACAGGGGCUCAUACCGGAUAGGAGCUACUGAUGCAUGUUGGGGGAUAGAAAGUUUCGGCGGUUGUGGAUGGUCUCGCGGCUUAUCAGCUUGAUGGGGGGGUAGUGGAUUACCAAGGCUUUGACGGGUAGCCGGCCUGAGAGGGGGGACGGGCACAUUGGGACUGAGAUAGGGACCAGACGCCUACGGGAGGCAGAGGUGGGGAGUAUUGCACAAUGAGCCGAAGCCUGAUGCAGCAACGCCGCGUGCGUGAUGCCGUCCUUCGGGUUGUAAACCGCUGUCGACUGUGACGAAGCGUGAGUGACGGUAAUGGGUAAAGAAGCACCGGCUAACUACGUG
rnacentral:rRNA from 1 species